rnacentral:rRNA from 1 species
GAUGAACGCUGGCGGCGUGCCUAAUACAUGCAAGUCGAGCGAAUGGAUUAAGAGCUUGCUCUUAUGAAGUUAGCGGCGGACGGGUGAGUAACACGUGGGUAACCUGCCCAUAAGACUGGGAUAACUCCGGGAAACCGGGGCUAAUACCGGAUAAUAUUUUGAACUGCAUGGUUCAAAAUUGAAAGGCGGCUUCGGCUGUCACUUAUGGAUGGACCCGCGUCGCAUUAGCUAGUUGGUGAGGUAACGGUUCACCAAGGCAACGAUGCGUAGCCGACCUGAGAGGGUGAUCGGCCACACUGGGACUGAGACACGGCCCAGACUCCUACGGGAGGCAGCAGUAGGGAAUCUUCCGCAAUGGACGAAAGUCUGACGGAGCAACGCCGCGUGAGUGAUGAAGGCUUUCGGGUCGUAAAACUCUGUUGUUAGGGAAGAACAAGUGCUAGUUGAAUAAGCUGACACCUUGACGGUACCUAACCAGAAAGCCACGGCUAACUACGUGCCAGCAGCCGCCGUAA